UACGUAGGGUGCAAGCGUUGUCCGGAAUUAUUGGGCGUAAAGAGCUCGUAGGCGGUCUGUCGCGUCGGCUGUGAAAUCCCGAGGCUCAACCUCGGGUCUGCAGUCGAUACGGGCAAACUGGAGUGUUGCAGGGGAGACUGGAAUUCCUGGUGUAGCGGUGAAAUGCGCAGAUAUCAGGAGGAACACCGGUGGCGAAGGCGGGUCUCUGGGCAACAACUGACGCUGAGACGCGAAGGCAUGGGGAGCGAACGGG
rnacentral:rRNA from 1 species